CCUACGGGUGGCAGCAGUGAGGAAUAUUGGUCAAUGGACGAGAGUCUGAACCAGCCAAGUAGCGUGAAGGAUGACUGCCCUAUGGGUUGUAAACUUCUUUUAUAUGGGAAUAAAACGUUCCACGUGUGGGAUUUUGUAUGUACCAUAUGAAUAAGGAUCGGCUAACUCCGUGCCAGCAGCCGCGGUAAUACGGAGGAUACGAGCGUUAUCCGGAUUUAUUGGGUUUAAAGGGAGCGUAGGUGGAUUGUUAAGUCAGUUGUGAAAGUUUGCGGCUCAACCGUAAAAUUGCAGUUGAAACUGGCAGUCUUGAGUACAGUAGAGGUGGGCGGAAUUCGUGGUGUAGCGGUGAAAUGCUUAGAUAUCACGAAGAACUCCGAUUGCGAAGGCAGUUCACUGGACUGCAACUGACACAGAGGCUCGAAAGUGUGGGUAUCAAACAGGGUUAGAUACCCUUGUAGUC
rnacentral:rRNA from 1 species